GGGAAGUUUCCACAAAAUAGCUGUUUUGUGGAAGUUUCUGUCUCUCUGUUUUGUUUCCAUCAGGUUUUGUGUGUGUCCAUCAGUUUACAGCACAUUGUCAGACGGUACCUAUAAAAAUGGACGAGGAAAAAUUGAUUUGCUUGGUCCAAAAAUAUAAAGAUCUUUAUGAUUUUAGUGACAGUAACUACCACAAUCAACAAUGCAAAGAUAAUAAAUAUAUGGGAGGAAAUUGCAGGAGAAAUGAAUAGACCAUCAGGUGUUGAAUGCAAGAAAAGAUGAAGCACAUUGAGAGAUGGUUAUAGAAAAUUCAUCAAGAGUCAGAAAACUCGAAGUGGCAAAUCAGCUACAAAAAAGAAGAGUUGGCAAUAUGACAAACAAAUGACAUUUUUGCGACCUUUCCUAAGCAGACAGAAACAAAUCAGUAAUGUUGAUGAACCCGAAUCAUCGGAAACUGAAACAGAACAUGAAGGCAUCGAAGAAGGCAGUAGUUUCGUUGAUGCAGAUGAUACAAUCAGUCCCGAAAGCAUUCCAAUUUCUUCUGUGUCUAGACCAGAGUCUAGACCGGAGCCUAGAAUCGCCAGUGCAGCCCCAAACAAGUUGAAAGUAUCAACACAAAA